GCCCGUCACACCAUGGGAGUUGGAAAUGCCCGAAGUCGGUGACCUAACCGAAAGGGAGGAGCCGCCGAAGGCAGGUCUGAUAACUGGGGUGAAGUCGUAACAAGGUAUC
rnacentral:rRNA from 1 species